CAGACACUGAAUCUGCUGGAGGCUUGAUCUUGGACUCACCAGGCUCCAGACCUGUGGCAAAGAUGGAUGAACAUUUUUAGGCAUAGCCAAACUUCUUUCCAGAAAAUUAGCCUUUUCUUAAAGAGCAUGCAUCACCCAACCUCAGCUCGCAGUGCCACCAUUUAUGACAACCUUCCAAAAUGGCCGGAACGCUGCCAGCUUCACACACCACGGCACUUCCUGGGAAGAACCUCAGGACAGAAUAUCUGCUGUUGAGUCAGGGCUGCUAUAGCCAGAGAAAGGUGUGAGAUGUGUAACUGUCUCCAGGGUCUACUAUAUGCUGUUAUCUCUGUGCCACUGUAACCUGCUGUAUGACCACAUAAGUCAAGCUUCUGUGACAAUUUUUUAAAAAUAAGCAUAAACAGCUCUGAGGAAAGGCCUAACAGUCUAAGAACAAAGACCAUAGUCCCCUCGGAGGGACCUGAUGACAUACAUUUUAUGGCUUAUUUCCAGAUCAUGGCUCUGCUUGAGAGCACAGCCCUUUGGCAGGGAGCUUCAUGCUCCCUGGAAUCCUAGUGGGGAUGAGAAACACAAGAGCUCCUUUCCCUGUGGAAGCCUCUGGAUUCUGACACAGCUUCACCUCUUCCCCACAGCCUCACCUCUCUAAGCCAGUUUCAUGACUAUAAAAUGAGGAUAAUGAAGUACCUACUGCCCACCCCAGAGCACUUUGUGCCAACCAAACAUGAAAGAGAACGUAAAAGUGUGCUGUGCACUAACAGGACUCCAGGAGAUCAGCAUUAUCACAGCUCAAAGGCAAGCCUGGCCACCAGGCAUCCAUGGCAAUCUCAUGCCAGGCAGGAAGUUCCUAUGAAGAAAAACAAAGACACGAAUACCCCUUAGCUGGAAGGAGAGAAGGUAAGAGCCUCCAAGUGAGAAUGGAGUGAUAGUCUGUGCUUCCUGGACAGAGGAAGUCGCAAGAGGAACGGAAAGCAGGUUUUGAACAGGGAGAAAGCAAAAGACCUCAGAUAAGCAAAGAUGAGGAAGGGACAUGAGGUCCAAACGUUGAAUAAAGAAACAGUAAUACUGGGCACUGUGGGACGCCUUUGCAUGUAAAUACGGUUUAAGCCUGGGCAUCCUAUUUGGGCGGAUAUAGUUACAAUGCCAUAUUUCAUUCUUGAGGUUGGUCAGCAAGACUUUCCAUGAAACUUCUGCUCCCUUAUUCCCACUUACUGUUCCUUAUCCAUAACGAUAGAUGUGUAUUACAUAUACUUCUUACCUGCUGACUGGAUCUUCUGUGAUCACACCUUUCCUAAUAGAAUAUUUAUCCAGGCCUGAGUUCCAUAGUCAAAGAAGGUAGAAGAUAAUCUGCUUAAAUGAAGUGCCUGGCCAUUUCAUUCACUUCUAGAAAUAUUUUCUCAAGAUUACCAUGCAAGCAACAGAUUUUCAGGAGGCAGAAAAGAUUUCUAGACUUUGCCCAGAGGGAGAACUACAAAUGCCCUCAGGAUAAAUAGUGCUCCAAUGAGCAGAAGCCCAAACAAAAUAGGAAACUGAUAGAGAACCCUAGCUCUAGAUCUUUUUGUCUUAUACCAUCCUAGCAUAAGCAGAAGGGAGAGAAGCUGUUCUAACCACGAUUGAAGAAUGAAGCUAUUUAGCAGCUUAAUCGAAACUACGUACCUUUGAAUCUCUUAAUUUUACCAGGCUCUUCUACGUGGACCUAUAUUUCGGUAAUUAUAAUGGUAAUGUGGAUUGCGGGAAGAUAUCUUCCUCUUAUGGCUCCCCACUCCAAGUCUUUGAUUUCCAAUCAACCAACAAUUUUUUUAAGAUUAUUUAUGUUAAUCCUUCCACUCUUCAUUGCCUCAUUUCUAAACUGGAGAAGCCCUCAUUUCAGUAACAACAACAACAAAAGUGACAUGUAUAGGGGUGUGUGUAUAUAUGAAAUCCCACCAUCCUUAUGAAAGUAAUUUUUCCCAGUUUUCUAGGUUCAUGACGUUAAGAAAGCUGAACCUCACCAGAGAAUGUGUAAUAUGUUAAUAUCCCCCAAAA
rnacentral:lncRNA from 1 species